rnacentral:rRNA from 1 species
GAUGAACGCUGGCGGCGUGCUUAACACAUGCAAGUCGAACGGUGAAGGCGGAGCUUGCUCUGCUGGAUCAGUGGCGAACGGGUGAGUAACACGUGAGCAAUCUGCCCCUGACUCUGGGAUAAGCGCUGGAAACGGCGUCUAAUACUGGAUACGAGCUGCGAAGGCAUCUUCAGCAGCUGGAAAGAAUUUCGGUCAGGGAUGAGCUCGCGGCCUAUCAGCUUGUUGGUGAGGUAAUGGCUCACCAAGGCGUCGACGGGUAGCCGGCCUGAGAGGGUGACCGGCCACACUGGGACUGAGACACGGCCCAGUCUCCUACGGGAGGCAGCAGUGGGGAAUAUUGCACAAUGGGCGAAAGCCUGAUGCAGCAACGCCGCGUGAGGGACGACGGCCUUCGGGUUGUAAACCUCUUUUAGCAGGGAAGAAGCGAAAGUGACGGUACCUGCAGAAAAAGCGCCGGCUAACUACGUG